rnacentral:rRNA from 1 species
AACGAACGCUGGCGGCAUGCCUAACACAUGCAAGUCGAACGAGACCUUCGGGUCUAGUGGCGCACGGGUGCGUAACGCGUGGGAAUCUGCCCUUGGGUUCGGGAUAACAGUUGGAAACGACUGCUAAUACCGGAUGAUGACUUCGGUCCAAAGAUUUAUCGCCCAGGGAUGAGCCCGCGUAGGAUUAGCUAGUUGGUGAGGUAAAGGCUCACCAAGGCGACGAUCCUUAGCUGGUCUGAGAGGAUGACCAGCCACACUGGGACUGAGACACGGCCCAGACUCCUACGGGAUGCAGCAUUGGGGAAUAUUGGACAAUGGGCGAAAGCCUGAUCCAGCAAUGCCGCGUGAGUGAUGAAGGCCUUAGGGUUGUAAAGCUCUUUUACCCGGGAUGAUAAUGACAGUACCGGGAGAAUAAGCCCCGGCUAACUCCGUGCCAGCCGCCGCAGUAA